rnacentral:rRNA from 1 species
AAACAACCGGGAUUGCUUAGUAACGGCGAGUGAAGCGGCAAAAGCUCAAAUUUGAAAUCUGGUACCUUCGGUGCCCGAGUUGUAAUUUGGAGAGGGCAACUUUGGGGCCGUUCCUUGUCUAUGUUCCUUGGAACAGGACGUCAUAGAGGGUGAGAAUCCCGUGUGGCGAGGAGUGCGGUUCUUUGUAAAGUGCCUUCGAAGAGUCGAGUUGUUUGGGAAUGCAGCUCUAAGUGGGUGGUAAAUUCCAUCUAAAGCUAAAUAUUGGCGAGAGACCGAUAGCGAACAAGUACAGUGAUGGAAAGAUGAAAAGAACUUUGAAAAGAGAGUGAAAAAGUACGUGAAAUUGUUGAAAGGGAAGGGCAUUUGAUCAGACAUGGUGUUUUGUGCCCUCUGCUCCUUGUGGGUAGGGGAAUCUCGCAUUUCACUGGGCCAGCAUCAGUUUUGGUGGCAGGAUAAAUCCAUAGGAAUGUAGCUUGCCUCGGUAAGUAUUAUAGCCUGUGGGAAUACUGCCAGCUGGGACUGAGGACUGCGACGUAAGUCAAGGAUGCUGGCAUAAUGGUAAU